rnacentral:tRNA from 1 species
GUUUUAAUAGUUUAUAAAAAAUAAUGAUCUUGUAAAUCAUAGAUAGAUUUUUCUUUAAAACU